rnacentral:rRNA from 1 species
UACGGAGGAUGCGAGCGUUAUCCGGAUUUAUUGGGUUUAAAGGGUGCGUAGGCGGAUCGUUAAGUCAGUGGUCAAAUUGAGGGGCUCAACCCCUUCCCGCCAUUGAAACUGGCGGCCUCGAGUGGGCGAGAAGUAUGCGGAAUGCGUGGUGUAGCGGUGAAAUGCUUAGAUAUCGCGCAGAACCCCGAUUGCGAAGGCAGCGUACCGGCUCCACACUGACGCUGAGGCACGAAAGCGUGGGUAUCGAACAGG